UACGAGGGGGGCAAGCGUUGUCCGGAUUUAUUGGGCGUAAAGAGCGUGUAGGCGGCUAGGUAGGUCCGUUGUGAAAACUCGAGGCUCAACCUCGAGACGUCGAUGGAAACCAUCUAGCUAGAGUCCGGAAGAGGAGAGUGGAAUUCCUGGUGUAGCGGUGAAAUGCGCAGAUAUCAGGAAGAACACCCGUGGCGAAGGCGGCCCUCUGGUACGUGACUGACGCUGAGACGCGAAAGCGUGGGGAGCGAACAGG
rnacentral:rRNA from 1 species